CAACAGGAAGACCUGCAAUUCCCAGAACCUUCACAUGGUUUCAAUCCUACCUUUGGGCCAGCUUGGAUAUAUAUGGCUCUCCUCAAAACUUCACACUGAGGAAUAUCCACAGAGAUCUUAAUGAAGGACUGAGUGAAGGGAUUUUCUACAGGGGCAGAAUGCUACUCUUGCUAGCUGUCGAGGUUUAUUCCUCUCCUACAGCUGCGGUGACAGACAGUAAGAUCAUUGCUAAUGUGAAAAGCAAAAUCAGCAGGCUUACUCUCAAAUGUAUGAGCUGAAAAUCCAAGGAGAAGAAGAAGACAGACAGAGAAGAAGUACAGACUCGCAGUGGACCUGUGGAGGAAUCUGAUGACAUCAGUGCUGAGGUACCAGCAGCAGUCACAGUGGAAGUGGAAAAAGUUCACCCUCUUCCUGAGAAUUUCACAGGAGGGGAGGAAUUUUUGUUGUUUGCCUCUUUCUUUGAGGUGAUGAUGAUAGAUCCUUCUACUGGCUCUAAGCCUGUGAUUUUUGAGCUCUCUAUAGCUUUCCCCAGAUCUGUACCUCGACACAAUCCUGUCUCUGCAGGAGCUUCCAGAGCUUGUCUGCCUGCAUCCUCCUCUCACUAUCUUUGUGAUGGAGCAGAGGACAUUUGGGAGACUGGUCUUGGUAGGAACUCACAUGGUCCAAAGCCUGGUGCAGCUUUGUUCCAGAGACCAAGAGGAGUGGAAGGAUGAGGAGGAAGAGCCGGAAGAGAAUAAGCCUACCAAAAAGACUACUCCUCUAUCCACGGGGAUCACUAUGGAUUUGGAAGGACUUCCCUUAAAAGAUACUAAAAUUUCACCAAAAUGCAUCGCUCUUAACUUAGUCACGGCUCCAAUCAAAAAGAUGACUAAAAAGGAGGAGGAGUUAGAGGAGGAGGAGCCAGAAAAGGAGGAGCUUGAUUGGUGGUCUAAAUAUUAUGCAACAUUGGCUGAACUUGAAAAAAAUUUGAGAAAUUAUUAAUCUUUAAAGAUUGCUUUAAAUGCAUUUCAGUUUCAUAACAAAAUUCCAUCAAAUUGAGUAAUCUUUCAUAAAAUAAAAUAACUAAAUAUUUUAAGUUUUAAUAAUAAAAUUUUGUUUGACAUUACACAAUUCAAUAUGAUGAAAUUUUGUUAUGAAACUGAAAUGUAUAAUUCUUAAAAAUGGGCUAAAAUAUUGUUUUGAGUGUUAGAACAGCAAGGUGUUUUUUUUCCCUCAAUAUAUAAAAUUUCUUGAGGAAGAGAAAGAUGAUGACAUAAAUUGUGAAGAUGCACAAGAUGGAGGUAUUACAAAUGCAAGCAUAAUUUUAAAUGUGAUCUAGACCAUGCAAAGAAUAAUUCAGACUAUAAUGCUGACAUAAGCUGCACUCUUAUCAAUCCGACACUCUAUAUACAGUGGCCUUAAAAAAGUAUUUGAGCACUAAAGCCACUUUUAAAAAUGUAUGAAUGUCUCUGCAUUAAAUACCAAAAUAUCAAAUCAAGUUGUAUUUAUUUUAAAGAAAGAUAGCAAAAUGACACCUUUCAAGCAACACACACAAAAAACUAAGAAGUAUGUUAGGUUUUAAAUGAGAAAUGCA